CACUGUUGCCACAAUAUGGUGACCUCAUG
rnacentral:piRNA from 1 species